UUCCGCCUGCAAACAGCAGACAGACGCAGACAUUGUGAACGCUGCAUGUUGUUGGCAGUUUGGUUGUUGCUGCUAGUUGCCGUGUGAGGUGAUGAGGAGAUGGUGCCAAGUGCUGCAUUAAUUUUAAAAUUUUUGUCUGACACUGUCAGCGGUGUUUACACUCAUUUGCAAGUCGCCAAGCCAAGGCAGCGCAGCCGGAGUUAGAGUUUCAGUCUGGCAGUAGUAUUUGCAUUUGCCUUCUUGCUUGCCUUCGUUUGCAAAGCCGAAAAUUCGUCAAGUAAAUUUUAUGAAAGGCCAACACAAAUUGGCAUAGGCUGUGCACGUGUCUGUCGUGCAGCUGCUGCGAGUUGUGCGUGUAACAGACGAGGCUGGAUAAUUUCUGAAAGUAACAAAAAGAAAUCAAACUGGCAUGAAGCACUUUGGAAGCAAAAGUUAUUUCAACAAAUCUGGAAGGAAAAAUUAUUUACGACGAACUGAAGUUGGGAUGAGGAGUGGAAUGGACAAUAGGUAACAGACGACGCUGGAUAAUUUCUGAAAGUAACAGAAAGAAAUCAAACUGGCAUGAAGCACUUUGGAAGCAAAAGUUAUUUUAACAAAACUGGAAGGAAAAAUUAUUUAUGACGAGCUGAAGUUGGGAUGAGGAGUGGAAUGGACAAUAGGUAACAGACGAGGCUGGAUAAUUUCUGAAAGUAACAAAAAGAAAUCAAACUGACAUGAAGCACAUUGGGAGGAAAAGUUAAAUUAACAAAACUGGAAGGAAAAAUUAUUUACAACGAGCUGAAGUUGGGAAGAAAAGUGGAAUGGACAAUAGGUAACAGACGAGGCUGGAUAAUUUCUGAAAGUAACAAAAAGAAAUCAAACUGGCAUGAAGCACUUUGGAAGCAAAAGUUAUUUUAACAAAACUGGAAGGAAAAAUUAUUUACAACGAGCUGAAGUUGGGAAGAGGAGUGGAAUGGACAAUAGUAACAGACUCGAGUAGAUAAUUUCUGAAACCCAAAAAGAAAUCAUGUUGAAAUGAAACUCAUUGGAAGCAAAGAUAUAAUAACAAAACUGAAAGGAAAAAUUGUGUAUGUGCUAUCUGAAGUCAGGAUGAGAGGCGUUGUUGAAUUUUUAAAAGUUGCGGGCUUUAGCUCGAUUUCCAGCAAAACUACAUGUCCUAUAUGAAAAAGUUAUAUGUCAAAAUUGUAGUUAAUGAGAAGAUCUACAACUUUGGUAUGAACAUCUUUUAAGGAUAACAUCACAAUUUAUGUGAAAAUGCAAAUACUCCAGUUUUUGGGUGUUUUAUUUUUUUCUGGCGCAAAUUUCAUUCUUUCAGAUAGUUGAAAGUGAAGGCAAGGAUGCUGCAGUAGUUCUCCCACGAAUGGGGGUCUAAGUAAACCGAACGAACUGGGAUUUUUAUUCGACCAAGAACGGUCAACUCGGCAGCAUGCUUCGAAUUGCUUCAGCGUGCCUCGAAUUACUUCAGCAAACUUUUCUGAUGUUACACAGCAGCAACUAUUUCUGCUUAUUCAAGGAUACAAAUAAGUAUAUAGCACCGCUUCCACGACAGUUGGCUCUACAUAAUCGGAAGGGACCUGGAUUUUUAUCAUUUUUCUCCGGCCAAUGUCAUCAGCAUGCCUCCAAAUCAGUGCAAUGAUGUUUUUUGCUGCUACAGAUACAAGUUUUUUCUCUAAUCCGCUGCCCUGGUGUACUGCAAACCGAAAUACUUACCAAUAGAUAUAUUUUUAGACUGCUAUUUCUUACAUUUUAACUAUUAUGAACAUAUAAUUACAGUAAAUUCUCAAUAAAAAUAAAAAUAUAUAUAGCUGAAAGCCUAAAA
rnacentral:lncRNA from 1 species